rnacentral:rRNA from 1 species
UACGGAGGGUGCAAGCGUUGUCCGGAAUCACUGGGCGUAAAGGGCGCGUAGGCGGCUCGGUAAGUAGGGGGUGAAAUCCUGCGGCUUAACCGCAGGGCUGCCUUCUAAACUGUCGAGCUUGAGCACGGUAGAGGCAGAUGGAAUUCCCGGUGUAGCGGUGGAAUGCGUAGAGAUCGGGAGGAACAUCAGUGGCGAAGGCGGUCUGCUGGGCCGUUGCUGACGCUGAGGCGCGACAGCGUGGGGAGCAAACAGG